CCAAACAUGUCGGUUAAACUCCUUCCUCUACUA
rnacentral:tRNA from 1 species